GACGAACGCUGGCGGCGUGCUUAACACAUGCAAGUCGAACGGAAAGGCCCUGCUUUUGUGGGGUGCUCGAGUGGCGAACGGGUGAGUAACACGUGAGUAACCUGCCCUUGACUUUGGUAUAACUUCAGGAAACUGGGGCUAAUACCGGAUAGGAGCUCCUGCUGCAUGGUGGGGGUUGGAACGUUUCGGCGGUUGGGGAUGGACUCGCGGCUUAUCAGCUUGUUGGUGGGGUAGUGGCUUACCAAGGCUUUGACGGGUAGCCGGCAUGAGAGGGUGACCGGCCACAUUGGGACUGAGAUACGGCGCAGACUCCUACGGGAGGCAGCAGUGGGGAAUAUUGCACAAUGGGCGGAAGCCGGAUGCAGCAACGCCGCGUGCGGGAUGACGGCCUUCGGGUUGUAAACCGCUUUCGCCUGUGACGAAGCGUGAGUGACGGUAAUGGGUAAAGAAGCACCGGCUAACUACGUG
rnacentral:rRNA from 1 species